GGGGAUGCAAGGCAUAGACAGUAGGCCAUUUGUUAUUGACGCAUACCGAGCAUGAACGUAAUCUCGUAAAACUUCGUUCAAAUGUUAAUUGCAAAAUUAGCUUCUAAGGUGAAAGCAGUCUCUCCAUACUUCAGUAUGAAUGACUUCGCUUUCGCUCGAGUUUCCGCUUACGCGUAACUCGUGUCUCUCUCAUAGACUUCCGAUAUAUGAGUAGAGGCAUAAUAUUAUCGGGAUAGUCCCGACACAGCUUCGCCGUCGGGGCGAAACACAGAAGCUCGAUUAAAAAAUAUUUCGCGCGUUUCUGAAUUUUUUAAUUUAAAACAAAAAACGCGCUAUGUAUGUAGACUUCUUGACAAAAACCUUCUGCACGGGGGCUCAUUUCCCCCCAUCUCCACUG
rnacentral:tmRNA from 4 species